rnacentral:lncRNA from 1 species
CAAGAUUAUAUCAAGCAUUAUACACAGAAAAAACCAGUUAAAAUCUAAUUCACUUGACGGAUAAUAUCGAAUCAUUGGUUGCGAAAAGCUUGUGGUACUGCAUCUCCUACGUGUUUGUUGUCAUGCUAUUAUCUAAACUUCCAACUUUUUCUUCAUGCCUUUUGCUCAUCGCUGCCGCAAAAUCUAGCCGUAAUUUCUUGCCUCUGAUGCCACAAAAUUCUGAAUCUAGAAGCAAGAAUCCAUGACCAUAAAAAAUCUCUCGCUGAGAGGAAAACACAGGAUCAUACGCGGAGGAGAACAAAGCUUAAGAAACUUGUUUGACUAGGGAAUGUAAAGAGCAUCGACUUUACAUUAUGGAGACCACGAGUUUGAUCCCCACCGGUCCAUAUUCGUUUUUGCCGAACGAAACCAGCUCUAGAAGAAGGAGGACUGACGAGAAAAGAGAGCUAAGAGUAAAUCCUUUGUGCCAAUGCCUUGGCUGAGAUCAUUAACCCAUAGGCUGGCUUUAUAGACA